UACGGAGGGUGCAAGCGUUAUCCGGAUUCACUGGGUUUAAAGGGUGCGUAGGCGGGUUGGUAAGUCCGUGGUGAAAUCCCCAAGCUUAACUUGGGAACUGCCGUGGAUACUAUCAAUCUUGAAUAUCGUGGAGGUAAGCGGAAUAUGUCAUGUAGCGGUGAAAUGCUUAGAUAUGACAUAGAACACCAAUUGCGUAGGCAGCUUACUACACGAUCAUUGACGCUGAGGCACGAAGGCGUGGGGAGCAAACAGG
rnacentral:rRNA from 1 species